GCCCUAGUAGAUCAGUUGGAAGAUCUUCCGCUUUCAAUAAUCAAUGCAUCAAUGACCUUUCGGAUGACGCGGGCUCGAAUCCUGCUUGGGGCA